GUGGGGAAUUUUGGACAAUGGGCGCAAGCCUGAUCCAGCAAUGCCGCGUGCAGGAAGAAGGCCUUCGGGUUGUAAACUGCUUUUGUACGGAACGAAACGGUCUUGGUUAAUACCUGAGGCUAAUGACGGUACCGUAAGAAUAAGCACCGGCUAACUACGUGCCAGCAGCCGCGGUAAUACGUAGGGUGCAAGCGUUAAUCGGAAUUACUGGGCGUAAAGCGUGCGCAGGCGGUUUUGUAAGACAGGCGUGAAAUCCCCGGGCUCAACCUGGGAAUUGCGCUUGUGACUGCAAGGCUGGAGUGCGGCAGAGGGGGAUGGAAUUCCGCGUGUAGCAGUGAAAUGCGUAGAUAUGCGGAGGAACACCGAUGGCGAAGGCAAUCCCCUGGGCCUGCACUGACGCUCAUGCACGAAAGCGUGGGGAGCAAACAGGAUUAGAAACCCUUGUAGUCC
rnacentral:rRNA from 1 species